rnacentral:rRNA from 1 species
CCUACGGGCGGCAGCAGUGGGGAAUAUUGGACAAUGGGGGGAACCCUGAUCCAGCCAUGCCGCGUGUGUGAAGAAGGCCCUCGGGUUGUAAAGCACUUUCAGUGAGGAAGAACGCCUGGUGGUUAAUACCCAUCAGGAAAGACAUCACUCACAGAAGAAGCACCGGCUAACUCCGUGCCAGCAGCCGCGGUAAUACGGAGGGUGCGAGCGUUAAUCGGAAUUACUGGGCGUAAAGCGCGCGUAGGUGGCUUGAUAAGCCGGUUGUGAAAGCCCCGGGCUCAACCUGGGAACGGCAUCCGGAACUGUCAAGCUAGAGUGCAGGAGAGGAAGGUAGAAUUCCCGGUGUAGCGGUGAAAUGCGUAGAGAUCGGGAGGAAUACCAGUGGCGAAGGCGGCCUUCUGGACUAACACUGACACUGAGGUGCGAAAGCGUGGGUAGCAAACAGGAUUAGAUACCCCAGUAGUC